UGAUAUACCUUUGGAUUUCCCAAAUGCAU
rnacentral:piRNA from 1 species